UACAGAGGGUGCGAGCGUUAAUCGGAAUUACUGGGCGUAAAGCGUGCGCAGGCGGCUUUGCAAGACAGAUGUGAAAUCCCCGGGCUUAACCUGGGAACUGCAUUUGUGACUGCAUGGCUGGAGUGCGGCAGAGGGGGAUGGAAUUCCGCGUGUAGCAGUGAAAUGCGUAGAUAUGUGGAGGAACACCGAUGGCGAAGGCGGGUCUCUGGGCCGAUACUGACGCUGAGGAGCGAAAGCGUGGGGAGCGAACAGG
rnacentral:rRNA from 1 species